UAGAGUCAAGCAUUUUCCUGAUGCAAGAAAUUGUUAUUUUCUAGAAUUUUACUCUAGC
rnacentral:tRNA from 1 species